GACGAACGCUGGCGGCGUGCCUAAUACAUGCAAGUCGAACGCUUCUUUCCUCACGAGUGCUUGCACUCAAUUGGAAAGAGGAGUGGCGGACGGGUGAGUAACACGUGGGUAACCUACCCAUCAGAGGGGGAUAACACCUGGAAACAGGUGCUAAUACCGCAUAACAGUUUAUGCCGCAUGGCAUAAGAGUGUACGGCGCUUUCGGGUGUCGCUGAUGGUUGGAUCCGCGGUGCAUUAGCUAGUUGGUGAGGUAACGGCUCACCAAGGCCACGAUGCAUAGCCGACCUGAGAGGGUGAUCGGCCACACUGGAACUGAGACACGGCCCAGACUCCUACGGGAGGCAGCAGUAGGGAAUCUUCGGCAAUGGACGAAAGUCUGACCGAGCAACGCCGCGUGAGUGAAGAAGGUUUUCGGAUCGUAAAACUCUGUUGUUAGGGAAGAACAAGGACGUUAGUAACUGAACGUGCCCUGACGGUAUCUAACCAGAAAGCCACGGCUAACUACGUG
rnacentral:rRNA from 1 species